CUUAGUGGCGGACGGGUGAGUAACGCGUGAGUAACCUGCCUUUCAGAGGGGGAUAACGUUCUGAAAAGAACGCUAAUACCGCAUAAGCCCACGGUGCCGCAUGGCACAGAGGGAAAAGGAGCAAUCCGCUUUGAGAUGGCCUCGCGUCCGAUUAGCUAGUUGGUGAGGUAACGGCCCACCAAGGCAACGAUCGGUAGCCGGACUGAGAGGUUGAACGGCCACAUUGGGACUGAGACACGGCCCAGACUCCUACGGGAGGCAGCAUG
rnacentral:rRNA from 1 species